rnacentral:lncRNA from 1 species
AAAAUGUAAAAGUUUGAUCAGGGGUAACUACUGCUGCUGUACCAUUAUUUGACCCAUCAGUGAAUAUAUUUGGAGCAUUCAUGAUAGGUGUUUUUCUUGUCAUUUUUGGAAAAACUACAGGAUGCAAAGACCAAAAAGACAACAAAGGAUUAGAUGGUAAGUGAUUAUCAAAUGAAACAUUAGAUUUACACAUGAUUAUUGCCCAAGUAUUUAACUCAUUAGCUAACUUAUCAAUUUGAUCCAUAGUAUAUGGAGUAAUAAUUUUAUUGGAAGAAAUUCCAAACACUCCCUUUGCUGCUUUUAUUCCUUUGAGUAUUAAUUGUCCUACAGCC